UACGAAGGGGGCUAGCGUUGCUCGGAAUCACUGGGCGUAAAGCGCACGUAGGCGGCUUCUUAAGUCAGGGGUGAAAUCCUGGAGCUCAACUCCAGAAUUGCCCUUGAUACUGAGAGGCUCGAGUCCGGGAGAGGUGAGUGGAACUCCGAGUGUAGAGGUGAAAUUCGUAGAUAUUCGGAAGAACACCAGUGGCGAAGGCGGCUCACUGGCCCGGUACUGACGCUGAGGCGCGAAAGCGUGGGGAGCAAACAGG
rnacentral:rRNA from 1 species